rnacentral:rRNA from 1 species
GAUGAACGCUGGCGGCGUGCCUAAUACAUGCAAGUCGAGCGAACAGACGAGGAGCUUGCUCCUCUGACGUUAGCGGCGGACGGGUGAGUAACACGUGGAUAACCUACCUAUAAGACUGGGAUAACUUCGGGAAACCGGAGCUAAUACCGGAUAAUAUAUUGAACCGCAUGGUUCAAUAGUGAAAGACGGUUUUGCUGUCACUUAUAGAUGGAUCCGCGCCGCAUUAGCUAGUUGGUAAGGUAACGGCUUACCAAGGCAACGAUGCGUAGCCGACCUGAGAGGGUGAUCGGCCACACUGGAACGGAGACACGGUCCAGACUCCUACGGGAGGCAGCGGUAGGGAAUCUUCCGCAAUGGGCGAAAGCCUGACGGAGCAACGCCGCGUGAGUGAUGAAGGUCUUCGGAUCGUAAAACUCUGUUAUUAGGGAAGAACAAAUGUGUAAGUAACUAUGCACGUCUGGACGGUACCUAAGCAGAAAGCCACGGCUAACUACGU